CAGAAAAUAGUUUAAUUAAAACAUUAACUUUGGAAGUUAAAAAUCAAAUAGCUCUUGUUUUCUGA
rnacentral:tRNA from 1 species